rnacentral:rRNA from 1 species
CACGUAGGGCGCGAGCGUUGUCCGGAAUUAUUGGGCGUAAAGAGCUCGUAGGCGGCCUGUUGCGUCCGCUGUGAAAGCCCGGGGCUUAACCCCGGGUCGCAGUGGAUACGGGCAGGCUAGAGGUAGGUAGGGGAGAAUGGAAUUCCCGGUGUAGCGGUGAAAUGCGCAGAUAUCGGGAGGAACACCGGUGGCGAAGGCGGUUCUCUGGGCCUUACCUGACGCUGAGACGCGAAAGCGUGGGGAGCGAACCGG